CGAAUGCUGACAUAAGUAACGAUAAAGCGGGUGAAAAGCCCGCUCGCCGGAAGACCAAGGGUUCCUGUCCAACGUUAAUCGGGGCAGGGUGAGUCGACCCCUAAGGCGAGGCCGAAAGGCGUAGUCGAUGGGAAACAGGUUAAUAUUCCUGUACUUGGUGUUACUGCGAAGGGGGGACGGAGAAGGCUAUGUUGGCCGGGCGACGGUUGUCCCGGUUUAAGCGUGUAGGCUGGUUUUCCAGGCAAAUCCGGAAAAUCAAGGCUGAGGCGUGAUGACGAGGCACUACGGUGCUGAAGCAACAAAUGCCCUGCUUCCAGGAAAAGCCUCUAAGCAUCAGGUAACAUCAAAUCGUACCCCAAACCGACACAGGUGGUCAGGUAGAGAAUACCAAGGCGCUUGAGAGAACUCGGGUGAAGGAACUAGGCAAAAUGGUGCCGUAACUUCGGGAGAAGGCACGCUGAUAUGUAGGUGAAGUCCCUCGCGGAUGGAGCUGAAAUCAGUCGAAGAUACCAGCUGGCUGCAACUGUUUAUUAAAAACACAGCACUGUGCAAACACGAA
rnacentral:rRNA from 1 species